rnacentral:miRNA from 2 species
CUGGCUGGUUGGUGCAAACAGG